UACUUGGGUGAUUGAGGUUUGGUGAAUAAA
rnacentral:piRNA from 1 species